UACGUAGGGCGCAAGCGUUGUCCGGAAUUAUUGGGCGUAAAGAGCUCGUAGGCGGUUUGUCGCGUCUGCUGUGAAAACCUAAGGCUCAACCUUGGGCUUGCAGUGGGUACGGGGCAGACUAGAGUGCGGUAGGGGUGACUGGAAUUCCUGGUGUAGCGGUGGAAUGCGCAGAUAUCAGGAGGAACACCGAUGGCGAAGGCAGCCCCCUGGGCUGACACUGACGCUCGAGGCA
rnacentral:rRNA from 1 species